GAUGAACGCUGGCGGCGUGCCUAAUACAUGCAAGUCGAACGCUGGAACUCUAGCUUGCUGGUUUGAAGGAGUGGCGAACGGGUGAGUAAUACAUAAGCAACCUACCCACCAAGUCUGGGAUAAUCUCUGGAAACGGGGACUAAUACCGGAUAGGUACUCGGAAGGCAUCUUCUGAUUAUUAAAGGUUACAAACACUGGUGGAUGGGCUUAUGGCGCAUUAGUUGGUUGGUCAGGUAACGGCCCACCCAGACGAUGAUGCGUAGCCGGCUGGAGGGGGUGAAAGGCCAGAAUGGGACUGCGGCACAGCCCAGACUGCGACGGGAGGCAGCGGUAUGGAAUAUUAGGCGAGGAAGCAUGCCCUAACCGAGCAGCGCGGGGUGAGUGAUGACGGCCUUCGGGUUGUAAAUCUGUGUGGUAAGAAAAGCAGGGUGGAUAGAGACUAUCUAAAUGACGGUACCUAAAGAGAAAGCAACGGCUAACUACGUG
rnacentral:rRNA from 1 species